GGGGGGGGGGAAAUAGACCGAAAUAAAGCUAGAAGGGCCCUGAGGUAGCCAGGGACUGGAAAUGGCUGAGGGCAGGUUCCUCUAGAGCUCUGCCUAGGAAUUCAGCCACCCCAAAGCCCCUUCCCUAACCUGCCUGGGCCUCGGUUUCCCAUUUGACUAUCAAAGGGCUGAGGUGAAAGUCAGGAUACCUGAGGCUAGAUCCUAAAGAGGGCCUCUGUGGCUGUGGGGACUAGGCUCCAGUCCUGUGCAAUCUUUCUGACCAAGCUGGGCCUCAGUCUACCCAUCUGUCAGGAGGGUGUACACUCUGCCAUGGUUGGGGCCUGCUGUAGGCAGCCCUUCCCCUCCAGCAUGGGCCCCACUUGCUCCCCAUCUUUCCGGACCACUGCUCCCCUCAGCUGCUCCUGGUGUUCCCAGGCAAGAAAGGAGAGAUUCUGCUAAAGGCUUUCCCACCCUUCCACAUAGCUGGCAUUCCAUCCAGGCUUCCUGGGACCCCACCCUGGAGAGAAAGAAGGCAGUCUGGGAGAAAGCAGGCGGUGAGCAGGAGGCCUGGGUAGGCUGGGGCUGCUGGAGAUGGGAAAGCCACAGCCUCAGAGUGGCACAUCCAGGCAUGGGCACAGGGGUCCAGGGGGGCUGAUGGAUUCACGGAGCCCUUACAGGGGUCAUUUUAAUUCCAAUGGCCUGCAACUUCAGACAUUUCAGGACCUCUCCUGGCACACAAGGCCCACAGUAACCUAAUGGAUCAAGUCUUUGCCCUGGGAAGGGCACCCUGCCCCUCUGACCGUCAAACAGGGCUUCAUAUCCAGCUCACUGCCCCCACCUCCAGGAAGCCUGCCUGACCCUGCUUCAUUCUCACUGCUGGCAGGGCCAAUGUGUGCCAAGCCUGGCACAGGGGCUGAAGUGGCUUCUCUCUGUCCUUACCCCUGGCUUUUCUCUUUGCUUCCCACAGUACAGGUGGAGAUCGCCACAUCCAGAGAUGCCAGGGCCCCUGAGGCUGUGAGGCUGGCUGAAGCUCAGCUGGAGCUGAGACCCCCCAUCAGCCCAGCACGGCACUUACUACACAACCUAUGUGAUAUGGGGUGCCCUGAAGGCAUGGCUGGCCAAGACGCCAACCUGAGACCCAGCAACAGAUGGACAGGUGGGUGUAAAAGGUGGGAGGGAGCUGGCAGGGCCCCACUGGCCUACUGCCAAUUUGGGAGUCUAAACACUGGAUGGCUGAGCCAGCACUUCCUGGGACACUCUGAGCAUAUUCUGAGUUUUAAGUUUGGGGACCAAGUCCCACACACAGAGGAUAGCGAGUCACCAUCUGUCUACAGACCUCAAGGCAGAGCUGAGCUAGUGUAAGGUGGGAGACAGAGCCUAGAGAGGACAGGGCCCGCAAGCCACACAGCACCCGGGGCAGUGUGAGCCUCAGCCAGGGACCAGACCCAUCCCUGCUAUCUGCUGUCAUCACAGCUGGGGACCUGUCUGAGUCAGAAGCCCCCUGGCCACUGCUCCCUGGUCCCUCACCUUAUGGCUUUCUCCAUGACCUGAAUGGCCUCCCCAGCCAAUUGCCUCCAAAAUCGAACGCCCUGGGAAAGGAGCCACUCAAUCCUAGUGGCCAGCCUGGCUAGGAGUUCAUUAUUCCCAUUUUCCAGAGGAGGCUCAAAAAAGGGCAGUCUUUUGUCCAAGGCUGAAGAGCAGCUUGGCACAGAUAAAGCCAAGUCGUUGCCUCUGCCUCCUUGAUACCCUCCCUCUGAAACUAUGGCGAACCCGUUACUUCCGGCUACGGGAAUCCCCACCUUGACAGUCACAGGGGAAGAUGGGGCUCAGUUCUGGGCUUGUAGACCUGCCUGUACACCCCACCCCUGCGCUGCUCUGUGAGGGGUCCAGAAAGAAACACAGACCUGCAAGCUGCCAAAGGGUAACACCGGCCUCUCAACCUAUGCUGCUUCAUAGGCGGCAGGGCUAUCAAUCACACAAAAGGAGGACUUCCCUCGGGCGGACUCAUUACCACGGACUCUACUGCAAAGACACUAGGAAGCAGCACAGAACCUCAGGCAGGGCCAGGAGCCCCCCACCACAGGUUCCACAGCCUGAAGGGAAGCUGUCCAGCCCUAAGACCGCCCGCUCCCGCUGCAGGAGGAUAGGAUAAAAGUCUAAGCACUUUUCUCCCUGGCCAUCUUGAAGGCUGUGUCCCUGAGGUCCCUCGCGCCACGAAUCUCUGUCCCAGAACUCUGGCAAGGUAAAGAGAAGCUAGAACUGUCAGGCCCUGGCUAAUGCUCUCUCCACACCACCUUACCACACCACCAACUCCAGGCUCUCCCACUUCAGUCUUAGGCCAUGAUGUAUCUCAGCCCAGCCCAUCAGAAGGUCACUCUGGGAGGCUGGCGUGCUUAAUCUGGUGUUCUACCCUGUGGCAGGGCCACCGAAGGGAAUACCAGCCCUGUUUGGUCCACAGGAAGGCCACACCAGCACUUUGGCCCACAGCAGCAUAUAUGGUGGCUUAAAUUCAUCCCUCCCCUACCAGCCAACCCAGUCUAUAGGGACACAGCAUGUCCCGGGAAAACAGAGAUGAUGGAGAUACCAUGAGGCAAGGUGGCAAGUCUGUUUCCGGGGAGGGGGGGGUGGUCAGCAGCACUUGGAAAGUCCCCGCACUCCCUGCCAGAGGUGAAGUCACCCCCAGAAGACCGGAGUCCCCUCCCGGAAGGUGUUCAGCCAGCCCUCAGUUCCUGCUUCAACCUGUGUCCCCCAGGCUGGUAGGGAUGACUUCUGAUGCCUCUCAGGUCACCCUACACUGGAAGUCUUUCCUGGUUCACCCCUACUGCAGGUAGUCAGGGCCCCUGCUGUAGGGCUCUGUGUGAACUCAGAGGAAGGUGGACUGGAGGGCUGAGAUAAAUUAAGGGGGUGUGAAAAGUCAACUGAAUGGGCGGGGCUAGCUAGAGGGCGGCUCUAGAACCUCCCUCAGACGGGAAACCAAGAUCUAGAGAAGCCAAGGGUACCCCAAAACCAGGCCCAGCCACAUCUGAGAGCGUAUCAUCAAGCACAUACUGAACCGACACACAGGUCCCAGGCUGGCUUGCUGGACCUACUUUUCUUCCUGUUAAAGCUGGCCUCAGAUUUGCUGGAGCAGAGCCAAGACAAGCAGGGACAUCUCCACAUCCCCCAGGAGCAUCGCAUCUCUGUCCCCAGGACUCAAGCAAAAGCUAGCCCCCCAAGUUGUUGAGGGGGGGCUUUGCUCCGGGACCAAGGACUCCUGGUCCCCAAAUCUUGCAACCAACUGCUCUAGUUGGAUUCUUCACCCUAUAUAAAAUCCAUUACUUAUAAAAUGUAAUGAAUGUGAGAGGCAACAGUGUUGGUCAGAUGCUAGAGGCAGCAUGGACCUCAGAGUCAUACAAACCUGGGUUCAAAUCCAGCCUCAGAUGCCCGGACCUGAGACACACCUGGCCCUGAUCACCCGCCCCACCCUCACAUUCCAAUGCCGGAGGUGGCUUGGUUUAGCCCUGUGCCAGCAGCCAGGGAGCACCGAGACGCAAGAGCAGACUCCAGACAGGCUGUGCAUGCCAGGCCCACAGGACAGGUCCUUCUGGAAAUGUGAACCCUGGGGCUUGGGUUCCCAGUCUGGAGUCCACAAGACAGCUGGUCCAUUCUCAUUCUGAAGACUAUUGUUUGAGACAGGCCUCGGUAUGAAACCCAGGCUGGCUUUAAACUCAUGAUCCUCCUGCCUCAGCCUUGUGUGCCAGGAUAACAGGUGUGCAACCCCAAAAGGACUUUUAAAAUCUGGUUUACCCCCAAUGGCCUGCUACUGGGAGGGAUCUGGAGUCCCACCUGUCCUCCCCCUUCCAGGGACCAGGCCACAUGUAGCAGCUUCACCUGGGUUUGCUGGCGGCCUUCUGAGCACAGAGAGAUCAGGAAGCCCAAUGGAAGAGGGUUCUGGACGGUGAUGGAGGCCCUCAAGUAUCAUCUGAUAGGACUCCCAGGGAUUCUGGCUUUUCUUCCACCUAUGUGCUAUGUGCAUGCCUGGGUGAUCACCGUGGUUCCCAGCCCCGCUCCAGCCCUUGGAAGGCUUCACAACCUAUAGCUGUAGUACUGGCUAGUUUUUAUAUCGACUUGAUACAGGCUAGGGUCAUCCAAGAAAAGGAAAUCUUUACUGAGAAAUGCCUCCAUACAACUGACCUGUAGGCAAGUCUGUGAGGUAGUACCUUGAUUAAGGAUUGAUAAGGGAGAGUCUAUCCCACAGGGAGUGGUCUUAGGUAUUGUAAGAAAGCAGGCUGAGCAAGCCACGAGGAGCAAGUCAGUAAGCAGUACUCUUCCACGGCUUCUGCUUCAGUUCCUGAGGACGGUUCUUGCCUCAAUGGUUUUCCUCAAUAGAUGGAUCUGGGAUAUGUAAGCCAAAUAAACCCUUUCCUCCCCAAGUUGCUUUUGGUGAUGGUGUUUAUCACAGCCACAUCAAACCUAAGAUAGCUACCAUGGCCACGCAGGGGCCACGGCACUCCGGCAUCUCCUACUCCCAGUCUCAAGCAUGGUUGCAGCAUAUCUGCACUGGCGCGGUCAUUUAGCCACACACCUAACUGCUUACACUGUGGGCCCAGAGCACUGGAUUCCCUGGUAUCAUGCUUACACCUACUUGGAUGCCUCCAGGACCAGGAAGCUGUCUCCCAGACAGCACCAAGGCUGGCCCAAGCCUGGGGAUCCAUACUCAAGGGCAAGGUGACUCUAGGUGGGUAGGGGGCUGGGGGGAGGGGCAGACUGAGCUAGAAGACAAGGAAAGAGAGGGAGCCUGGAGUGCACCUGUACCCACCCCCACCCAUCGGCCAGCCUGAGGGGAGGCCCCCAGCCCCACACCAAGGAGAGAGGACAAACGGCCGUUUUGUCCUUGGCCAGCGGGCGGCCUGUACUACACAAUGACCCUUUCAUCAGGCUGAGGGAGCCCUGGGCCGGGGUUUCAUCUGACAAGGGAGGGCGCCAGCCUCUUGUCCCCUUGGGAGGGGAGCUGAGCCCUAUCCCAGCCGGACUCAGGACUGUGCAAAAUGGAGGCCUCCAGGGAGCCUGCUGAAGCUGUCCCACCUGCCUGGGAGAUGGAGAGGGCUUUUAGGACUGUGGUCAGCACCACCAGCAAAGCCACAACAGGAGCCAGGAAGAGGCCUGACGGGGCCUGGGGAGGACAGUGGUGAGCACCCUCUGCACCCCCAAGCCAGGUGGUCGUUUCUAUUAUUGGGAUAAAACACCAUAACCAAAAGCAACUUGAGGAGCAAAGGAUUUAUUUCAGCUUAGAGUUCCACAUCACAGUUCAUCAUCAAAGGAAGUCGGGGCAGGAACCUGGAUUCAGGAACUGAAGCAGAAGCAGAAACAGAAGCCCUGGAAGAAGGAUGCUUACUGGUUCGCUUCCCAAGGCUUGCUCAUCCUGACUUCUUAUAACAACCAGGAUCACCAGCCCAGGGAUGGCACAGCUCACAGUGAUCUGGGUUAACAUUAGUCAUCAGCCAAGAAAACACCCCAUAGGCCAAUCUGGUGGGGGUGUUUUCUCAAUUGAAUUUCCCUUUUCUCAAAUGUCUCUAGCUUGUGUCAAGCUGACAUAAAACUAGCUAGCAUAGAUGAGUAGGGAAUGGAUGGAUGGAUAGAUGGAUGGACGGGUAGGUGGGUAGAUGGAUGCAUGUAAGGGUACAUGCAUAGAUGGAUGAAAUAAUACAUGGGUGGAUAGGUAGGUGAGACAUAGAUGGAUGUGUGCAUGCAAGGAUGAAUGAAUGGGUAGAUAGGUGGGUAGAUGGGUACAUGAAUGUGGUGAUUGAGAAAUUAUGGGCAGGUGGGUGAUUGGAUGGAUGGUUGAUGUAUGAAUGGGUAUGUGGAUGAAUAGACACAUGGGUGGGUGGAUGGAUGGAUGGAUGAUGGAUACAUGGAUGGAUGGAUGAGUAGGUAGUUAAAUGAUGGAUGGAUGAAUUCCUGGAUGGAUUUGUUGCAGGAGGAUGCAGGAAGUCAUCCCCAUGUGAACCACUGUGAGCUAUAAAGAUGAAUUAAGUAUAGGUACUUUGCCUGGGACACUCCCAGGUUUUUUGUUGGUUUGUUUUCGUUUGGUUGGGUUUUUGUUUUGUUUUGUUUUUCUUUUGUUUUUGAGAUAGGGUCUCUCUACAUAGCCUUGGCUGUCCUAGAACUUGCUAUGUAUAGCAGAAUGGCCUUGAAUUCACAGAGACCUGGCAACCUCUGCCUCUUGAGUACGGGGAUUAAAGGUAUAUGCCACCAUGACUGGCAGAUAGUUUUAAGCACUGAAAGUUCUCAGGAACUCGUCAAUCCUGGAUAACCACCCCAGACCUAAAAUAAAAGUGAAGAAACCAGAAUUCUCCUCAAGUAACUGAUUUCUCUGGGACCCUCGCAAGAAGUGCUUGGGGAUGGUCUCCCAGGGUUGGGCUGUGGAGGUGAGGGCAUAUGAAAGGUAAUGCAGCUCAUAUUUAGUUGACAGGCGCUGUGUGUAGCAUGAAUCUUAAAGAGUCUUAUUAAUAAAACAAACCAGGAGCCAAGUUUGGGGCCAAUGCUGGAAGAUCAGAGAAGCAGAACAAGCCACAGCCACCUCACCUCGCCAGUUCCUCAGCUGAUCCUGUUUCCUCAGACUGGAAGCCUCUGAGUCCUCAUCCAAAUAGAUCUCAGCUGAACUACUGCUCAAAAGCCUAAAAGUUUAACCAGCCCUAGUUCCUGGUCCUCACGCCUUAUAUACCUUUCUGCUUUCUGCCAUCACUUCCUGAGAUUAAAGGCAUGAGUCACCAUGUCUGGCUGUUUCCAGUGUGGCUUUGAACUCACAUAGAUCCACGCGGAUCUCUGCUUCUGGAAUGCUAGGAUUAAAGGUGUGUGCUACCACUGCCUAUCCUCUAUGUUUAAUAUUGUGACUGUUCUGUUCUCUGAUCCCAGAUAAGUUUAUUAGAGUGCACAAUAUUUUGGGGAACACAAUACCACCACAGCUGUGUGCUGGGAUCCUUGCCUGCGCAGCUCCUCUGAGUCCUCACAAGACACCACGAAACAAGUUUUCCCUUAUCCCCACACUCUGUAGUCAUUUGUCAAUCAUAGCUGGGUGCUGCGAGUCCAGUCUAGGCCAGGCACGGACCUGGAAUACUGAGGAGCAGAUGGAUGCAUAAAGUAACUGCAUAAAAGCCCACCUCCAUCUCUCCUAACAUCUCUGUCCUCUGUGUUGCUUGGACACUCCAAACCAGUUUCUGCCCCAGGACCUUUGUACAUGCUGUCCCUUCCAGCUGCAUUCUCUCUCUGGUUCUAUCUGGUUCUGUCCUCUGCUAAGCAGUCCAUAUCAGAGCCCUCCCUCCCUCCACAUCCUUCCCCCUCAAAUAUACCCGUUGGUAUUCUUUAAUAUGACACUGGAUACUCCUUUUGAAGAAAGAUGUCAUUGUGUUAUCUGUCUGGCUUCCCUUGGCAUAUAAGCUUCACAGGGACCGUUACAAUGUCUUGUUUACUGCUCUAUCCUGGAGGCAUAGAGUAAGUGUUCUAUUAAGUGAUUAUUUGAAUGAACGGAGGGGUGAAUGAAUGAUUUUGCAGGAAGCAGCAGGCACGUGUGACCUGCAGUGGUCCAGGUUGGAAAGAGGGGGACCUGACCCAACUCCCCCGAACCCUGAGGUUAAUCACCACAUCACUAGCAUCAGUCACACCUGGUUGUUGCUGCCCCCGCCCCUACCCCAGCUUCUGUGUGGUAGCCUGUGACGGUCAUGUGAGUGAUGUGGUCACUGACAUUUCCUAAAAUUCAGCAGCUCCAGCUCCAGGUCCCCUGAGUAUGCCCUGGCCCUAGAUGAGCAGCUGGUACCACUAAGCUCAGGCAGACAGAUGAAAGAACAGAAGGAGAGAGUGGUGGGCGGGGCCAAUGGCUGGGGUAGUAUAUGCCAACUUGACACAAGCCGGAGUCAUUUCGGAAGAAGGAACCUCCACGGAGAAAAUGUCCCUAUCAGACUGACCCGUGGGUACGCCUGUGGCGCAUUUUCUUGAGUCACAAUUGAUGUGGGAGAGCCCGGUUCCCUGUGAGCAGUGCCGCCCCUGGGCAGGUGGUUUCAGGUGGUGUAAGAAGCAGGCUGAGGAAACCAUGGGGGAGCAAACAAACAGAGUUCCUCCAUGGCUUCUGCUUCAGUUCCUGCCUUGAGUUCCUGCCCUGACUUCCCUCAGGGAUGGGUGUGACCGGGAUGUGUAAGCCAAACAAAUCCUUUCCUCCCCAAGUGGCUUUUGGUCAUGGUGUGUUAUCACAGCCGUAGAAAUCGGAUUGUCACCCCUGCCUGUCAAGCAGAGAGCUAGGCCACCAUGUCACUCAACCUCUUCAUGGGGCAGAAGCAGAGGGGAAGUCCCUGCAGCCGCUGCUGGGAACCCCAGUCCAGUGAGAGGAGGGACACUAAGGACAGCCAGAGGUCAGUAGUAAGGCAUUGCAGGGGAGGACUGGGUGAUCCCCACAGGGACUGAGGCAGAUGGGGGCAGGAACAGAAGGAGGACGUGUGGUAGGUUCUUCAAGAUGCCCUGCCCUGGUUCCAAUAGUGCCCAAGACUGUGGUAGCCUAUAAGACAGGCGCAUGUAAAGUCACAGUCUUUUGACUCCAUCAGAGCUUACCCUCCCAGGCUGAGUCUGAGUCCCCAAGCUCAUAAAAGCUAGAUUUUCAGCAGCUGUAGCUGGAGGGGCUGUGGGGAAGAUCCAGGAGGCAGGAGAGCUUGACUGACAGCAGCCUUGAGGAGGCGCGGCCUCCUAGAGAGAAGGCUCAGGGCCUCUAGAGAUUGAAAGCUGUUGGAAACCUGCAGGGAAAGUGGGAACCUCAGCCCUCCCAUAGCAAUGAACAGAGUUCUGUGCCUGCAGCCAGGACUAGCCUGGAAGCCCACCCACCCACUCCAUACCAACCCCCAGCAUGCCAGGCUGGACUCCUGAUGGGGCAGUGGUUAGAAGCCACACACUUUGUGGUAAAUAUAAAACCAAUGUGGCAGGGUUUGGACACUCAGAGAAGGAAACAGAAACUCAAACCCCAAGAUGGUGUAAGCAAUGGCCCCUGGCAUGAGACACGACUUAGGAAAGAGGCCGGCCUCCAGACAUGGCCUGCAUGCCAGGCUGCGGAGUGGGAACUUCGUUUUCUGGCACAGGAGAGCUACUGAAGAUUUCUGGAGAGAGAGAUGGACAUCAGAAGUGGACCCUGGAUGAAGUUCCCCCUGCUUACCUGACAAGCCAGGUUCUGGGAUCAUGCCUCAGAAGUGGGGGAGGGGAGGUCCUAUAUUCAUACUAGUGGGCAGGGGUCUGGAGACAAAACCUGAUUAGGAAGGAACCUGGACCAUGACAUCAAUGACUAAUAGUUCCAAGUCACCUUCUAGCUCCUGGCAGCUUGGACAGCUGCCCUAUCCUAUGCAUGAGUGUGUGUGUGUGUGUGUGUGUGUGUGUGUGUGUGUGUGUGUGUGUGUGUGUGUGUGUGUGUGUUUGUGUGUGUGUACGUGUCUGCCUGCAUGUGUGUGUCCUGCUCCAACCCCUAUAAGGCGAAGGGCAGAGCCUCUAGGGAAAGAUAGGGAGUGAAAGUUGAGGAGCCUUCACUGGGAUACACAGGCAGAGGUACUGGUUCUUGAGGUACUAUGAGCCUCCCACAGAGCAAGCCCAGGAGUUUGACAGGCCAAGAGCAGGAGAGGGAGCCAGCCCCUGGCUAGGAUGGCAAUCUUCAGGAGCCGGCACCCCUGCACUGUGUGGACAUGGCCACCAGGGGGUGCCCUGUACACAGAUCUGCUGCCCCUUUAAAACAGAUGCCCUGUGUUUCCAACGGAAGUCCCUUCUCAGGCCCAGAGGACCGAGAGCAGAGGGCAGGCCAUUGUCUACUGUAUCCUAAUCCUGAACCCUGGUCCAGCCUGAUCUGGCAUGAACUGAGAGGUCUCUCUUUCUUCUACUGUAAUGCAGACCAGGGCACUGGGAUGUGCUGAGUGUGAGGACACAGGGCCCACCAGGCAUGACCUAUCUUGAUACAGGAGUAUGUCUGCCAUGGCUCCUUGCUCCUAAAGUUAGUGAUGCUCAGCUCAGACCCCCAAUCCUUGAUUUCCUCCUCCUUGGCAAAGGUGACUAGGUCCCACCCUUCCAUUCCCUCCCCUUGCUAGUGACGGCUGCCAUGGAGACACUGUGUGUGUAUGGGUUGCAAAGGAACAAAAGCCCCUCCCAGCCCAGCUCAGCCCUGGAGAACAUGCUUUUAAUCGCCUACUGGGCUCCGGUGUUGUUUGUCUAUCAACUUGACACAAGCUAGUGCCAUCUGGGAAGAGGGAACCUCAGUUGAGAAAAUGUCUUCAUCACACUGGACUGUGGGUAAGCCUGUGGAGCAUUUUCUUGAUUAAUAAUAGAUAUGGGAAGGUCCAGCCCUCUGUGGGCUGUGCCUCCUGGAAGUGGGGCAUGUGGUCCUGGGUUGUGUUUAUAAAAGCUAGUUGAGCAAACCAGUAAGCCCCGCUCCUCAUGGCCCAAGUUUUCAGUUCCUGCCUGCAAGUUCCUGCCCUGCUUGAGCUCCUGCCCCGACUUCCCCGAAGAGAUUGCCUGCGACCCGGAAGCCAAACAAUGUCUUCCCCCUUCCAGGUUGCUUUUUGUCAUGGUCUUUAUCACAGUAAUAGAAAGUAGAUUAAGAUGGCUCCUUAGAGGAAAGAAAUGGGUACACAGCCAGGUGGUGGUGGUGCACACCUUUGAUCCCUGCAUUCGGGAGGCAGAGCCAGGUGGAUCUCUGUGAGUUUGAGGCCAGCCUGUUCUACAGAGCGAGAUCCAGGACAGGAACCAAAGCUACACGGAGAAACCCUGUCUCAAAAAAGAAAAAAAAAAAAAAAAAGACCUGAGCAUUCUGGAGACACCCCUCCCCCACAGGUAUCCACCACCUGGAACUGGAGACACUCCUUCCCAUCCAGUGUCCACCACCUAGAAAUGCUAUCAUCCAAUGACUGGUUGAGCAGUCAAGACCUGAGUGCCCAGCGCCUGGGCACCCACACAGCACUCAGCUACCUAUUCGAGAUGGAUUUCUCAUAGCACCCAGAACAUUUUUGCUGGAUGGUUCUGUUUUGUGUCCUGUGUCAUUCAGCAGGGUCCUGACUUCCUCUUACCAUACAUACUUGUAGCCCCUUCUGUGAGGCAUGACACCCAAGUGUCUGUGUACUUGCCAAAUAUCUUCCUCGGAGAUGGAACUGCACUGUUGAGAGUCACUGGUCUAAGCUAUAAAGUGUUUUCAGGCUGGGGGACCCGGAUCAACUGUGUAUGCCCAAUACAUACCCUGGUGACCAGGCUCGUGCCAGGGCUUAGACAUCGCCAACUUUCCAGUUGCAUGUAGACAUCCAAGAAAGCAAGUGACACCCCCUUGCACCUCUGGCAUCCCACUGAUGCCAACUCUGUUUGGGCCACACCUAGCUUCAAGGGAGGCUGCGAGUUGGAGUCUAGGUUCACCUGCUGGCUAGGACCAGCUGCACUAGGUGACCCAGGGGGGAACAAUACAUUCUGGAGGUUAUCUGGUAUAGUUUUUUGUUUUUGUUUUUGUUUUUAUUCUUUGGGGACCUGCCACCCAGCUCCCAGCUCCCAAAUAAAUACACAGAGACAUAUUCUUUCUUAUGAAUGCACAUCCUCACCUUGGCUUAUUUCUAGCCAGUUUUUCCCUAAUUAUCUCAUUUCUCAUCUUCGAUGUUUUGCUUCUGGGCUUUUACCUUUCUUAUUCUGUAUACCUUUCUUUUCUUCUUACUCCAUGGCUGGCUGUGUGACUGGCUGGCUGGCCCCUGCUGUCCUCCUCUUCUUCUUUUCUCACUCCUCCCUCUUCUUUCUUCCUCUCCUAUUUACUCUCUCUGCCUGCCAGCCCUGCCCAUCUCUCUCUCCUGCCCUGCUAUUGGCCAUUCAGCUCUUUAGUAGACCAAUCAGAUGUUUUAGACUGGCAAAGUAACACAGCUUUACAGAGUUAAGCAAAUGCAACAUAAAAGAAUACAACCCAUCUUUGCAUUAUUAAACAGAUAUUCCACGGCAUGAAAGAAUGUAACACAUCUUUAACUACUGUUCCACAGCAGUUUGGCAGCUUGCCUUCUUUCUUAGAUGCUGUCCCCACUGUGGCCCUGUGUCCUUCCACCCCUGACACCCUUCUCUGCCCUUUAUCAUGUUCCCAUGGGCUCCUCUUAGCUCCCAGCCCAGAGCAGAUAGAUAGUCCCAGCUCCUGUAUGUAGUCCAGGACACUCUGAAGCCCUGUCAGCUCCUGUCCUGAUGGCUACACACAUCCUCAAGGACUCAGUUGCCAUCCUGAACAUGGAGAGCUAAUCACUUCAGAGUUCAAAAUGGCCACAAGAGAGUUCCUCCAUCACAUCUGCCUUCCAGGAUGUUGGAUGAAGUAAGGGCCAAAGAAGGUGUGCAGUUACUCUUGGUUGUCAACCUGACUGGAUAUGAAAGGAACUAAGAGAUGUGCCUGAGGAAGGUCUGGGAGGGUACUUCCAGGGAGCAUUAACUGAAAGUAGAAUACCCUCGAGCGUGAGCAGCCCCUGUGGCAGUGGCCCAACUAUGAAGAAGUUUGAGAGAAAUGUAGUGCUGCCUGCCUGCCUCUGCUUCCUACUGAUGGGUGCAUCUACCCUGCUGCUGCUGCUGCUGCUGCUGCUGCUGCUGCUGCUGUUGAUGAUGAUGAUGAUGAUGCCACCUUCCUUCAUUGCCAUCAGAACCCAGCUUCUUUGGCCUCCCAACGUUAACUGAAGACCAGAAGCUCUCAAGAAAGUUCUCCAGUCUGUGGCGUCAGCCACAAGGCUGUGGCUGAGGCAUCCAGCUUCAUGGGUUCCCCAACCUCUCAGGUUGCAGAUGGCCAUAGAUGGCCUACCCUGGCCCUGCCAUGUAAGCCUCUAAUACAUCCCUUUAGUGAGGUGUCCAUGCUGUUUCCCUAGAGAGCCCCCAGUAAGCAGAAGGACAGCCUCUCUUCACUCCGAAAUGUCCCCGACACUUUCACUUCUCGGUGGCUAGAAGUUGACCAAGUGGCCACACCGAGCUGUAAGCCUGUUUGGAAUAUGCCCCCUUCUAGCUGAGCAUGGUAAACCCAGUGGGAACUGGAGCUGUUACAGAGAAGGAUGGGAGGCAGAUACGGGGGCAUACAUGGAAAAUAUCCACUUCUCUGUACCCUACAACUCUCCUUGAAGUCAAGGUCCUGGGUGUCAGGCAGCCUGUGGAUGGCUAUUCUUAGACUUCCCUGCUGGGGACCUCUGAGUCCCCUGCCGAAGCACUGAGGGAGCAGAGUGACACCAUCCUCCUCUGUCAUCUCUGACUACUGGGGUCAGUGCUAUCAACAUGGACCUUGUGGGGGUGGGGUGCAGCUCAUGGCCCAAUGCUAGCACUUUCUCCUUGACUCUGUUGACAUUCAUGUGUGUUUCAUGCCUCUUCGGUCAAGUGUGUGUGUGUGUGUGUGUGUGUGUGUGUGUGUGUGCAUGUGUGUUUGUGUGUGUGCAUGUGUGUAUAUAUGUGUGUGUGACUGUGUGGUGUGUGUGUGUGCAUGUGUGUAUAUAUGUGUGUGUGACUGUGGGAUGUGUGUGUGUGUGUGUGUGUGUGUGUGUGUGUGUUCUGCCUGCAUGUAUAUCUGUGUACAAUGUGUAUGCAGUGUCCAUGGAGGCCAGAAGAGGGCAUCGAUCUCCAGAGACUGGUGUUAGAGACACUUGGGAGCAGCCUUAUGGGAGCUGGAAAUUGAACGCAGGUCGCCUGGAAGAGCAGCCAGUGUUCUUAACCACAAAGCUCUCUCUCCAGCCAUUAAAGUGAGUGAUACAUCUUCUGUUGACCAGCUCCCUCUGACCCAAGCAGCUAUCUUAAGGGCCUUUCCUGUUGGAUGUUUUCUAAUCAGAACAAAUGGAUGCAGACCUUUGAAGCUCACACUGUCUACCAUGCCCCUGACUGGAGGAGGCUGGGGAAGACUCUCUCAGAAGGGCUGCCCUCCUCUUCAGUGGGGAGUAUGGACAAGCUUCCGGCUUUUCGGGGGAGAGUUCUUACUCAUGUAGGCUAGGGGCCUGGUCCCCAGCCUGUAAGGACCACAUGGGAGGGAGGGAAAAGAGCCCUGCGUUUCUUAUAGGCCAUGCUGGCUGUGGCCACAGAGAACCAGAGCCUUUGCCCUUUGGAGAUGCCAUAGAAACUGACAAAAGCCGGGGCAGUGCCAGCCCCAAGGAGGUGCACAUGGCUAGGGACAGGGUAGUCUCUCUCCUUCACCUGAACUUCUGCCUGAGCCCCGGAGAGCGAGUCAGGCCUGCUGACUGGACAAGUCUUCCUGGGAGGGACAGGAUAAAGGGGAGCUUGGCCAGUACAGAGGACGUAGGUCUCAGCUUCACUCCAGUGUUGGUGAAUGACCUCCACUGAGCAGCUUUGGUCUUGUGACUUGCAAAUGGGCAGCAAAGGCUGCCCUGCCCCCCACAGGGCCCCUGCAUACUUCCCUGGGGGCACCCAGCAGCGCAAAAACCUCUUACUUGGACCCGUUUCCUGUCCCUUCAAACCAUGAAGACAUCCCCAGGGUCUUUUAUUCUUUGUUUCUUGGCACAUUGUCCAGAGCACCCUCCACAGAGCUGGAGGCACCAUCCCCCCCUGAGAACCCUACCAAAGCAGCCUUCGACGGUCUGCCCUUAUCUCCACACCCCACUGCCCUCUUCCCAUCUCAGCCCUUCUGAAGCCCUAGGAAGCCUUGGGGAUGGUGGCCAUCUAUACAAUACCUUGUUUGACUCUCCCGUUGAGUCAGAGAGAUACCUGCCUCCAGUGUAUGUGAGAGACACAGCAUGGCUAGGGUGCUGUGUGCUGCCCACUGCUGGCCUCUAGUGGUGGUGAUUGUAGUAGUGAGGAUGAUACUGAUGGUGGUGAUAGAGAUGGUGGAGGUGAGGGGGGUUGUGAAGGUAGGGGAUGGUGAUUAUAAUGGUUAGUAUCAAUAAAGCAACUUAACUGAGAGGUGACUAGGUGUCAUGAUGUCAAUUUGACACAACCUAGAAUCACUUGGGAGAGAGUCUCAAUGUGGGAUCAUUUAGAUCAGAUUAAUCUGUAAAUAUGUCUGCGCAAGACUGUCCUAAUUGUUAACUGAUGUGGGACAUCCAGCCCACUGUGGGCAGCACCAUCCCCUAGGCAAGGGAUCUGGCCCAUGUAAGUGUAGAAAGGAACCUGAGCACAAGGGGUCAUGCGCACAUUCAUUCUAUCUGCUCUUAUGUGUGAGUGCGGUGUGACCAGCUGCUUCCAGUUCCUUCUCCCUGACUUCCCUGUAAGGAUGGACUGUGACCUGGAAUUGUAAUGCAUUCCUCCUGUAAGUUGCUUUUUGUCAGGAUAAUUUAUCACAGCAGCAGAGAUGAAACUGGAAUAGUAGGGAGUGAGCAAAGCACAUUUCUGGGUGUUUCCAGAGAUGAUUAAUAUGUGGAGCAGCAAUUGAGGGGGAAAUACCUACCCUGAAUGUAGGCAGCACUAUCCUAUAGGCUAGGGGCCUGGAUGGAAUAAAGUGGGAAAUGAGGAAGCCAACCAGUGCAUCCUUCUCGGGCGAGUGUGUUUCUUGUGGCUGCCAUUGCCCAUGAUAGCAGACUCCGACUUCUUCACUCUUUCAGUACAGACUCUACCAUCGACCAGGGAACUUCCAGAUCUUCAGUCUCAGUCUGGGACUGUAUCCUUGACCCACCUUGUUCUGAAGUUCCCAGCUUCUCCGGCUGAGCAGCUACUGGGUUUUCUGGUUCUCCUGAAUGCAGAUGGCCAUGGAUGAACCAUCAUCCAGGCUCUUUCUUGAAAGUCAAUCCAGUAACUCUCCUUUAUAGCCAAUACACGUUCUACUGGUUCUGCUCUUUGAGAGAAGCUUGACUAAUCACAGUGAUAGUGAUGACAGUAGUAGUCAUGGUGAUAGAGAUGAUGGAUGAUGGUGACAGUGGUGGUGGUGGUGAUGUGUGAUGAUGUGUGAUGGUAAUGGUGGUGAUGUGUGAUGAUAUAUGAUGGUGAUGAUGUGUGAUGAUGGUGAUGAUGCAUGAUGUGAUUAUGUGUGAUGUGAUGAUUUGUGAUGGUGAUGAUGUGAUGAUGAUGUUUGAUGAUGGUGAUGAUGUGUGAUAUGGUGAUAUGUGAUAGUGAUGGUGAUGAUAGUGAUGUCUGAUGAUGUGUUCUGGUGGUGAUGGUGAUGUCUGAUGAUGUGUUCUGGUGAUGAUAGUGAUGGUGAGGAUGUAUGAUGGUGAUGUGUGAUGAUGUAUGAUGAUGGUGAUGAUGCAUGAUGUGAUGAUGUGUAAUGUGAUGAUAAUGAUGUUUGAUGUGAUGAUGUGUGUGUGAUGAUGGUGAUGAUGUAUGAUGUGGUAAUGUGUGGUAAUGAUGGUGAUGAUAGUGAUGUCUGAUGAUAUGUUCUGGUGGUGAUAGUGAUGUCUGAUGAUGUGUUCUGGUGAUGAUAGUGAUGUCUGAUGAUGUGUUCUGGUGGUGAUAGUGAUGGUGAGGAUGUAUGAUGGUGAUGUGUGAUGAUGUAUGAUGUGUGAUGAUGUAUGAUGAUGGUGAUGAUGUGUAAUGUGAUGAUUUGUGAUGAUAAUGAUGUUUGAUGUGAUGAUGUGUGUGUGAUGAUGGUGAUGAUGUAUGAUAAUGAUGGUGAUGAUAGUGAUGUCUGAUGAUGUGUUCUGGUGAUGAUAGUGAUGGUGAGGAUGUAUGAUGGUGAUGUGUGAUGAUAGUUUUAUUAGUCACGUUUCUCGUUGGUGUCAUAAAACACCUGAUAUAAACAACUUAAAAGAGGAAGAAAUAUUUUUGCUCACACAUUCAGAGGGUUUAGCCCUUGCUUGCCUCUAUACACUCCGGCAGAAUGUUUUGGCAAUGGAAGCAUGUGGCAGAGGAGGUAAACAUGAAGGGUCUCUUUUGUCUUAAUAUUACUGUUCAGAGAUGCCAUGACCAAAGUAACUCUUAGAAGAGAAAGCAUUUAAUUAGGAGCUUGCUUACGGUUUCAGAGGUUUAGUCCAUUGGUGGGGAGCAUGGCAGCAUGCAUGCAGGUGCUGGAGCAGUAGCUGAGAGCUACAUCCUGAUCUGUAGUCAGAGAGAGUGCUGCAAGCCGCAGGAAUAUAUCAUAAGAACUCAGCUGGUUAUGGCAAAGUCACUACCUGGAGGAAUCAGGGAAUUCCUCCAGAGGAAGCUAAAUUCCAAGGAGCCUUUGGUGUUACUUGGCUUGUUAUAUAUCAGCUGUCUUCUGUUAUGAAAAUCAUGUGUGCCUUCAUAGUUUUCCCAAUUGACUUUUCCACAAGAAGGGCUAACAGUGUGGACUGAUCACUCUCUGGACAUACACAUUCCAGGUAUUUAGAGAACAGCCUCAGGAACGGCUUUCUCUGGAAUCAGAUAUCUGCCUUGGCCACUUUCAAGGACUAGCAGUAAUAACAGUCCACAUGAAAGUCUCCUGAUUUAAGGUAAAUUCCACAAGGAGACACCACCUAGGUCAGGUGGACAUUAAGUAAUAGUUUUAUGAAAUUCAGCUCGGACCCUCCUUUCUUAUAGCCUUACUAACUUUAUAGACCUCUAAUUCCUUACCUAACCACUUCUAGGAAUACUUGGAUAAUUUUCUGUGCUGACAGCUAUGCUCAGCCAGAACCCCAGUCCAAGCCUCCCAGUAAUUAUCAUCACUGGCAGCAUCUGGCCAGGUCCAUCCCCAGUUGGAGGAAAGUACCUUAGCAGAGAUACCUCUGUACUCUCUAGAACAGACUUAAGUAUCCAGGCUAUCUGUUCCUUUCCCAAACCUUACCUUUAGUUCCAGAUCUCCCUUUAACUAUCACCAGAGGCAUCUAACUUACACAGGUUGCCUAGCGACUGAGCACACUUUCCCCCACCCUGCAGAAAAAUGGCAGAUAGCUUGGACAGAUAGGAGCCACAGGAAAAAAGAAGACAGUUUUAUUUUCUCCCAUUGACCUAACAACAUAUAGAUUCUUAACAUUUUCUACUAAUCACGUUUAAGACUAUAGUUGAGCAUAUAAGAUUCCCUCUUCUUAGAUAUUUUCCUUAGAUAAAUUACUCGAAUUUAGCCUUUAGUUAAUUCAUUUCCCCAUUGGUCACUUCCCUUUGAGGUUGCAAAUGAUAAUUAAUGGUUAUUGCUUCUCAAUGUGAUUCUUAUCACCCCUCUGUUUGACCCUGGAAGCCUGGCUUUAUAUACCAGGACUUCCAGGGCACGAGGAUGGAGAAGAGAAAAGAGAAUGGAAGAACUAGAUGGGUAAGAACUUGAGAGGAACAAACUGAGAUGGGGAAGAACUAGAUUGAAAGACUAGAAGAGAGUACUAGAGGAAUGAGAUGGAAGAUGAGGAAGAGCCAGAUGGGAAAGUACUAGCUGGGUAAGAACAAGAUGAAAAGGACCUAGUUGAGGCAGAAUUAAGACGAGAGAAUUAAGAUAGAACUUAGAGGGAGUAAUAGAGAAAUCAGGCAAGAAAGGAGCUAGGCACAAGAACAGAACUGAAGCUGUGUAUAUAGGAUGUUAUGCCAGAAGAAUUAAAUCAAGUGGACUAUAGAGCUCAGUGUGCUGAGAUUCUAUUUCCUGAAAAUAAUCCUCGCCGCUAGUAGUUCUCUCUUCUGGGCCUCUAGGAUGUAUAAUAUUAAGGCUGGUCCUGCUAAUAUUAUACAAGAAGAGAGAGCAAGCCUAAGCCUGGCAUGGGCUUUUGAAGCCUCAAAGCCCACCUGCAGUGGCACACUUCCUCAAACAAGGCCACACCUUGUAGUCAGAAGGUUUCUCAGGUCCUGCCCAGAGAAAACUUUCAACUACAUUUUGCUACCCAAUGUGUUGGCUCGAGUUUCCACCUAAAACUUGAGAGAACGUAAUAAAAAGAUUCUAAACUGGAGCUAAAAACAGCUUCCUGAAUGUGUCUCUCAGACAAGCCAUGAGCUACACUAUGGCAGGUUCGUGGUAUGUGGGCUUGAGCCACAGCAUGGCGUCGAGGUACACAGAGAUACAGAGGUGUCUCCAAGCCAUGCAGUGCACUGCAUGGUGGAUGUAGCUUUUGCUAGUACAGACCAAAGGAGAAAAAAAAGGUUUCUGGGCUUCAGCUCCUUGAUGGAGGCACAGACCCACUGCUUCCCAGACUUGGUGGUGAGCAUGGUUCCCAGAGCUGGCGGUAAAUGUACCACUGCCAUAUUGGGAAACUGAGGUGAGGUCAGCAGCCAAGGCUGCCACUUUUUGUCCUAGCCAUGCAGUUUAACAGUUUAAAAUCUCUCCUGGUCAGAGAAGGAUUAUAGAUUCACAAUAAGACAGGUUCAGAUGGAAUAAAACUCUCAACUGUUUACAGUGUGUGUAAAAACCUAUGUAGGCUUGGAAGAGAGAGAAAAGGGAAUGUAGACAGUUAUAUAAAAAAUAGUUUUAAAAAAUAAAGUCUUGCCAGGCAGUGGUGGCGCAUGCCUUUAAUCCCAGCACUCGGGAGGCAGAGCCAGGCAGAUCUCUGUGAGUUCAAGGCCAGCCUGGGCUACAGAGUGAGUUCCAGGAAAGGCACAAAGCUACACAGAGAAACCCUGUCUCGAAAAACCAAAAUAAAUAAAUAAGUAAAUAAAUAAAUAAAGUCUUUAAAGAGACAGUAAAAGUAAUAUAAGAAAUAAGCCGCGUAAAGAUGAAUAUUACAUAGAGAAUCUGGAUUGUGUUGUCAUUGGGCUUUUUAACUGCAGAAAGAUAUUUGAUUGUAAAAGCUGCUGAGUUAAACCAAUAUAUAUAUUUUUUAAAGGUAUCUUGACUUCAAAAUUUGUGUCUAAGGAUACAUUGCUUUGGAAAAGAGGUUCUGCUUUUGUUUCCACAGGAGAUGAGAACCUAUGGAUUGCUUCCAGGCUAAUAUGGUUUGAUCAGCCAAGAUCCUCUGAAAGGUCGCUGAUGACACCAUGGCCUAAAUGAUCCAACAUCCAAAAUCAACUUCAAGGCAACUGGCUCAGAGAACACAGCAUCACAGACUACUCCAGUCAGGACUUGACCAUAAUCCUAAAAUUGUCUUUGUGUCCUCAUAAGACUACCAGUGCCCACAAUCAGUAGGAAGUAGCCUAGAAAACUACACCCACAUUCUCAAAAACUGAAUUAUGGAUAUUUGUCUUUGUUAGAAAUUGGUUACAAAUUGUUAUUGGUCAUAGUCAAUAUCUUUCUAAAAGAAAAAAGGGGGAUAUGAUAUAGAUAUGAUAGGGUGAAAGGGUAGAUUAUUGAAUCCACUUUUAAAGAGCAACAACUUAUUUAAAAUUGCUAUAGAUUUUAGUUUAUUUCAAAUUUAAAGUUAAUUGUUUUACUCUAUGUAUAUUUCUACUCUUGUUUAAGGUAUUAUGUUUGUGCAGCUCAUUUGAAAUUGUAAUGUAUAAUUAAGAAAUUCAGAUUAUUAGUCAUCUAUGAUAAUUAAACUUAUAAUCAUGUUAGUUAAGUUUUUUAGGUGUACAUAGAUAUAUUUCAAUUAGAUAGGUAAUCUUCAAACACUUCAAAGACUUAUAGAAUAUGGCAUUUAAAAUGUUUUAAAAACUUAGACUUUUCUGGACAAUGAGACACAUCUGCUCCUGGCAGUACCAAUUGCAUCUUCAAGGAAGAUGAUGGGCAUCAAAGACACUCCAUAUGGAGUUUAUCUUCUUCUUGGCAAAAAUGGUCAUUUGAGCAAGAAAUUGUCCUUGCCUGGACUGAUUGACAAAAUGUUGUAUCUACUGGACAUGUAGGACCCAUAGGAAGGUGACUACUAAACUUUGCAAGAUGAGAUGGUCCUUAAGGUUCCUGCUUUGCAGAGGAGACUGCCAGAUAUUCUAUAGGACACAGGGAGAAGUGACUAAAAAAACUCUAGGCCUGUAGGCUGGAUAUGGAUGCCCCAACGUUGCAGAAGAACUUUGGGUGAUUGUCCAGGCAGCCAGCUGUCUCUGUCAUUCUUGAAUUUUGGAAGUUGCUUACAGUGUACUUCCUGUUUACUUAGGUAUUAUUAUAUCCUUCUGGGGUCUCUGAUGUAGUUGAAGACUAAAUAGUUAUAGUUAUAAUUUUCCUUGGUUAUGAUAAAAGUAAAUUAGAUAUGAAACUUUAGACUCACAAAUAGGAUAGAUGAUAGAAUAUUUUCUUUAAUUUUACCAAAUACAAAUAGAACAUCUGUCAUAGAUAUAAUUCUUGCUUGAUAACUGUUCUAUUAUAUGUAAUUUUACUAUGUUAAAAUUAAAAAUCUUCCUUUUUGACUAGACAGAAAAGGAGAAAUGCUGUGAGAUAAUGCUCUUGUACACUGGUUUAAUAAAAUGCUAAUUGGCCAGUAGCCAGGCAGGAAGUAUAGGCAGGGCAAGCAGACAAGGAGAAUGCUGGGAAGAGGAAGGCUGAGUCAGGAGUCACUAGCCAGACACAGAGGAAGCAAGAUGACAAGGCAGAACCGAGAAAAGUUAACAAGCCACCUGGCUAAAUAUAGAUAAGAAUUAUGGGUUAAUUUAAGUGUAAGAGCUAGUAAUAAGUAAUCAGUAAUAAGCCUGAGCUAAUGGCCAAGCAGUGGUAAAUAAUAUAAGCCUCUGUGUGUGGACUUGGGUCUGAGUGGCUACGGGGCCAGGCAGGACCGGAGAAACCUACCAACUACAACACCUCCUCAUCCUUCUAAUCCUUUCAAAGAGUUCCACUCACUGGUGAUUAAGCAUUCAAAUGUAUGAGCCUGUGGGGGCCAUUAUUAUUCAAAUCAUCACAGGCUUGUAGUUGAAGAAGGGCUAUAGUCCAUCCUGACAAGGAAGGCAUGAUAGCAAGAACAUGAGGAAGCUGGUCACAUUCAGUCUAGGUCUGUGGCCCAUGGAAUGGUGUCACACACAUGCAAGGUGGGUCUUCUACUCAGUAAAACCUUUCUGUAAAUGCCUUUGUAAGGAUUCCCACAGGUUUGUUUCCUAUGUGAGUUUAAAUACUGUCAAGUGUUAAGGUGAUGGUGGCGAUGGUGGUGACAGAUGGGUGAUGAUGGUGAUGGUAAUGAUGGCAGUGGUGGUGAUGAUGUGGUGAUGGUGAUGAUGUCGGCGAUGGGGAAGACAUUGUUGGCAGUGGUGGUGCUUUUGAGAAUGAGAUGGGUGGCAGUGUCUUCUGUGGAGUCCAGUUUGCAAGCUGGAUCUGUCCUCCCCACAUCUGGGAAAGACCCACAGCUUGGACCCAUUUUCCAUGGAAGUUAUAGAGAGGGUUGGAUGGAUGAUUCAGGCAGCUCUAGCUCCUGGCCAGCUUCUACCCUGCGGCCCUCCACAUGUCCUUGACCUUCAUGAAUCUGUUCUGGAUUUCUUCUCUAUGGCCUGACAACUCCCAAUAGCUCCACCAGAGGGCACUCUGCAGCAGGGAACAGGCACACUAGGUCCUGGCCAUGGAGCAGGCAGGCCAUGGAGCUGGAGCCCACAUUCCUGAGGCAGGGUAACGAGUGCAGAUUCUGGAGUCUUGAGGGCCUGGCUGUCACAAAAGGCUGUGUGGCCAUCAAAGCCUUUGCCUCUCUGUCAUGGUGCCUACCUGAGGGCUCUAGGGAUGACUCAUGGGGACCACGUUAGUGCUGGCCUGCAAAGACCCAAGCAGGGAUGUGAUUUCAGGAACAGGGCUGGAUCCCCACGAAUACUGGUAGGGCGAGUAUUUGAAGCUACAGUUCUUGGGGGCUGAGGGGUCUACAAGCUACGGCACUACCCCUGAGGUUCAGGGUGCUGGAAUGGGAACAGCAGCAGCCAACCCAGCCCCCAGGUGGCUACCUAGGGACUGUGUAGAAUGGUCAUCCAUGCAUUUGUCUCUGGACAUUCCCCUCACCUAGGCCCUUUGGGCAUCUGUGAGCUCUGGUACUCAGGAGUCUGAUCUGGCCCCUACUGUUACCUCUCCAGGACUCAGGUUUGGAAGUGGGCUUGCUGGCCACAUAGUAGUGUUCCAUGUUGCCCUUUCUGAGGGGCUUCCUGGCAUGGCCAUUUCACGGUCUUGCAGCCACCGUGUGAGCGUGGUUCUCCACCCUCCCCCCUGCUAGCUUCUUUUCUUUCUCAUUGUGUUUUAUUAUCGUUGUAUCAUUUGCUAUUGUUAUUGUAACAUCCUAGUAUGUGGGAAGUGGUAUCUCACUGUGCUUCAAUUCUUUGUAAGGCCAGGCAAGUGGGGUGCAUUCUUUCCUUGAGAGUUCAUCGCCAGGGUUUGAGGCGAGACCUUCCAGCCAUCCUCACAUCUAAGAGGCCAGGACCAAAAUGGCAAAGAUGGACGGACCCCACUGGGUAGGGCGGGCCUGCCAGGGAGAGCCCAGAACAUCCUGGAAGCUGCCGGAACCAACUUAUUCAGCAAUCUAUCAGCCCUCUGUGAGGACCUACUAAGUGCACUUAUUCAGCAAUCUAUCUGUCUUCUGUGGGAACCUACUAAGUACACGUAUGUUUUUUGUUGUUGUUGUUUUGGGUUUUUUUGUCUGUCUGUCUGUUUUGUUUUGUUUUUGUUUUUCGAGACAGGGUUUCUCUGUGUAGUUUUGGUGCCUGUCCUGGAACUCACUCUGUAGACCAGGCUGGCCUCAAACUCACAGAGAUCCUCCUGGCUCUGCCUCCCGAGUGCUGAGAUUAAAGAAGUGUGCCACCACCGCCCAGCAGCGCACGGGUUUUGUGCUAAGACCUUCCUGGGCAGCUUCUGUCCUUCCAGGUGUUUCUGAAGGAUGAAGAGGGCAACAAAAGAGCAAGCACUGUGAAAUGUGCUGUGUGGGCUCAGGAGGUGCCCGUGCCAGGCAGGUGGGCAGGGACAGAGGAGGGGAGGGCCCGGUAGAAGCGACAGGCAGCCCUUGGACAAGAAUGCCUGGGCAGAAGGGACUUAAGCAGGGAGGAGAAGAAUGUGGACCAGAGUGAGGCCGCUGGAGUAGACCUGGAUGGCGCAAUUUCAACAGCCCUAGAUAAAGUGCAGAGGGCAUGGCCGUGCAAGGGCCCUGUGGUAGGGAAGGCUUGCAGGGUCUGAGAAAAGAGAAGAAAGACAAAGCCAAGAUUUCUGACCUCCUCUACUCCCCUCCAUCUCCCAGGCACUGUGCCAGGGUUCAAGGCUGGAGGAAUCAGUUUGAUUUGAUUCACCCUUGAGGCUCCUCCUCCUGGAAUCUAAAUCACUGUGCCCGGGCAGUGGGUUCACUCGGGGACACAGUGGCUCCUCUUCUGUGCUCUGUCUUCCUGUGUUGCUGGGGGAUGGAUGGUCCUGGCCCCGGGCCACCCGCCAGCACAUUGUCUGCUUGUCUGGCCGGAAGCAGCUGCUGCCCAGGGCGGGUGGGGCCUGUGUGGACUGUGGACUGGGAGGCUGCAGGGCUGCAGAGGCAGCCUGAGCCCUGAGCCCUCCCCAGUCAGUCAGCCAUGCGUGGGGUCUGGGACGUGGAAGCUGGAUGUGGGGAGAGGGGUGCUGGUCACUGUUCUGUCUUUCCAUCUAUUCGCUUGCCCGAACCCCUGAGCGCCAUCCCAUCGGAGGAUUUGGGUCACUUCUCAGCCUGGACACAGUACAGAAGACCAAGGGAAGCAGCCCAGCCCUAAUCUAAGGAGAACUGACUUCAGUCCUGGCCAGUUCCUCAUCCGAGAGGAACAUGUCCAGCCGCUGGAUCCAUGGGAAUUUGGACACUGUACCCUGGGGUGAGGGUGGUAGCGUACAGAUGUCCUGCCUGAGGACUCACAGGUCUCCUUGUUCCAUGGCUCCUGCCCUGAGUCAUAUUCUUUCUGCCCCCAUCUCUCAUCCUUCCCUUCCUCCCUCCCUCCCUAUUCCAUUCACCAAACUUCAAAGACCACUUCCUGCAUGGACAAUUAUAAAGAAAAAUGGCGGGUCUCAGCUGGAAGAAACUGGCUGUAUUCAUCCAUCCACUCUGACUGUCUGACCUCGUAAGAUAAAGUGCUGCCCCUGCCCCAGUAUGGUGUUUGGUCUGAAGGUACCUGUUCUAGUAGGGGUGCUCUGGGACCCCGAUUUGGCCACCAUGUCUGUUAAGGGGCCAGGACACUCUGGGUCACACACUCGUGAUUAUAGCUUCUAUGGGUGCCCUUCUCUCCUGGCCCUCAGUGGAUCCCACAGGACACCCACACUCUAGAGUCCCCAGGCAUGAAGUCCUGGCCAGCCCUGCCUCUCAGCAUGCUGUUGGGGUCCUGAGCCUUGUCUCAUAAGUACUGGGCUAGGCACCAGCUCCUUACCUCCAUAUAUAGCCAUUAUUUGGGGGUACAGACUCACUCUGGCUAGGUGCCUUGUUUCUAGAAUUUUCUGUUAAUUUCCCUUCAAAUGUUGUCUGUCUCACUUUUCAAAGUAUCGUUUAGAUGAAAAGCCGACUGGAGUUGGCUGUGGUGGCACAUGCCUGGAAUCCCAACACUUAGGAUCCCAAAGCAGGAAGAUCCAGCCUGAGCUACAUAGUCAGGCACUACCUCAGAACUGAAUCUUUUUAAAGGCCUGAGGGUGUGCCUCGGUGGCAGAGUACUUGCUUGAAAUGUACAGGGUCCUGGGUUUUUGGGGGGAAGACAGACUAGAUUCUCUGCUUUGCCUCCACAGAUGCCUGGGACUCUGCAGCAAGGGUGGGUAGGGCACCAGUCCUGGGUACAGAGGCCCAUUCUCCAUAUCAGCUGGGAGACUGGCCUAAGACUUACACCUGUGGAUCUGUGGAGUCCUUUCAGAGAGGACUGACAUUCAGGACAGUGACAAGGAGUGGAGGAAUGCCCUGCCUUGAACAGGGGCGACACCUUCAAGCUCUGAAAGGGCUCAGGCGAGGAAGGUGGUAUAAGCUGAUAAAGUCUUUUUCUGUCCUGAGGAGUUUACGAAUCACUGCUGCCACCUGCUGCCAUCGGACUCCAGCUUCCUCAGCCCCUCACUGUGUACUCCACAUCAGCCCCUUUCCUGGGAGGGCCCAAGCUUUCAGCCUUGGGUUGGGUCUGCUCAGGUGUUCUGCUGCCGGGACUGAGCUCUCUGCCUCUCCAGAAUGUAGAAGGUCACUAUUGGACUACCCAGCCCCUUUACUGUAAGCCAAUCCAAUAAAUCUCUUUC